UACGGAGGGUGCAAGCGUUGUCCGGAAUCACUGGGCGUAAAGGGCACGUAGGCGGCUUUGUAAGUCAGAGGUGAAAGCCUGGAGCUCAACUCCAGAACUGCCUUUGAGACUGCAUCGCUCGAAUCCGGGAGAGGUGAGUGUAAUUCCGAGUGUAGAGGUGAAAUUCGUAGAUAUUCGGAAGAACACCAGUGGCGAAGGCGGCUCACUGGACCGGUAUUGACGCUGAGGUGCGAAAGCGUGGGGAGCAAACAGG
rnacentral:rRNA from 1 species